CUAAUUUCCCACCUUACUUAACAUUCUUUUGGAAAAACUGAAACCAAACCGCAAACCCAGAUCUCUCCCUUCAUCUCUCAUUCCUCUUCUUCUCUUCAUCCCCACUCAUUGAUGAAAAGGCCGAUGCCAAUAAUCCGGUCAUCAGGUGAGCCCAUCAUCGGAGCCAAUAAUCAGACAAGUCGCUGGUCACUCUGGUCUCUGUGGCUUCUAGCGAAGGAAGGCGAGAAGAGUUCCACACCGAAACGAUGACGGAUGAGGCGUCGGGGAAUCUGGAGUACGAUUUCUAUUGGAACCCAACAAAGUGAAGUUUAUUUGAAGAGGGAGGUGAUUGGGAAAGGAAGAAUCGAUUGAAGGUAUAUGAAGGCUUGUACUGCAUGUCCACUCGAAAUUUUAAGAAGGCAGCCGAUUUGUUCCUGGAUUCCAUUUCUACCUUCACCACUUACACAAUAUUUCCCUAUGACAUCUUAAUAUUUUAUACCGUCCUGACAAGCAUUAUAUCUUUGGACAGAGUUUCUUUAAAACAGAAGCUUGAUUCUUUGGAGCGUAUAUAUGCUUUCCAUUUGCUGUAGCUUGUCAACAAAAGGAGGUUGAAUCCAUGGGACCAAUUGCAGAGCGUUGGAGAAUCAGAAGUAAAAGUGUGUUACAUAUAUUGAGAUAUGGAGGCCCUUGGUUGAAGAGAAGAGCUGGGUUAGGCAUGGGUAUGGUUGCAGUCUAUAAUCCAAGUCUCCAUUAUCUCAUUGAAUCUCAUGGUUUUAUUGAAGAGGAUGCAAAAUCUUAUACAAUUUCUUUGCUUCUUUAAUGUAAAGCAUUUCAUUGUAAAUGUUUGAAGUAUGUUUAUUGUAGAGAAAUAAAAGUAUUAUUAUUUUCAGGUUGCAAAUUAAUUAGCAGAAAUAAU